GGGAUGUGACAAAAGUGAAUAUGCCACCUGGGAAAGCUGGGCAUAGUAAACGGGAUUUUGCAUUCAUCCAUUAUGCUGAGAGGUCAAGUGCACUGAAGGCUGUAAAAGAGACAGAGAAAUAUGAAAUUGAAGGCCAAGUGUUGGAGGUUGUCCUUGCAAAGCCUCAAAGUGA